rnacentral:rRNA from 1 species
CACACAGGUGCUGCAUGGCUGUCGUCAGCUCGUGUCGUGAGAUGUUGGGUUAAGUCCCGCAACGAGCGCAACCCUCAUCCUUAGUUGCCAUCAUUUAGUUGGGCACUCUAAGGAAACUGCCGGUGAUAAGCCGGAGGAAGGUGGGGAUGACGUCAAGUCUUCAUGGCCCUUACGGCCUGGGCUACACACGUGCUACAAUGGCGGUGACAGAGAGUCGCGACCCUGCGGGGGGUAGCUAAUCUCCAAAAGCCGUCUCAGUUCGGAUUGUACUCUGCAACUCGAGUGCAUGAAGCUGGAAUCGCUAGUAAUCGCGCAUCAGCUCGGCGCGGUGAAUACUUUCCCGGGUCUUGUAACACACCG